rnacentral:lncRNA from 1 species
AAUAAGUAAGGAUAAUGUCAAAUGAAUGUAAAAAAUUUAGGUGUAUCAAAGAAUCAUUUCUCUUAAACAAUAGUUUUCUUUGUACACUGGAUAGUGAGAUUAGUCUUUUUUUUAAUAAAGUUUUCCUUUCUUGUUUCAUGUACAGUGUAAUGUAGUAUCAUUGUGAGAUAUUGAUUCUUGUGUUAGUGUUACCCUUUUUCUACUUUCGCUCUUUUAGUUUUUCUUUCAUGGUCGCGUUCUCCGUAUUCCAUGGCUACCCCC